UUGGAAUUAAUAUUUGACUCAUGUUUUCAUUUUUACCGUUCAGCAUUGUAAGUAGUUUUGAUGAGGCAUUUUUCUUGUCUCUUUCUUGCUGCUUGGUUGCUUUUUUGCUGCUUGGACAGAGGCAGCAUGCUGUUGGUGUGCCAUUGUAGGGUCAGCUUGACUCAAUAUUUGCUCUCAAAUUGUACUCCAGGAUUUUUUGUCACCCACCCUUGGUUGAAGAUGUUGAAGGCAGCCAUUUUUCUGAAACCUCAGAAGUACAACGCUUUCCCUAUUCCCAGCACUUACAACCUCAGUUACAAGCAUGUGAUAAACUGUCUCAGUACCAACACUGUGCAUGGAUAGUGGAGGUCUUGCCUACAUUGCACACCAAGAACAUUAUCCAGAGUGCUUGCUGUGUUCUUUGUCCAGCCUGAGGAUCUGUUGGAAUGUCUGGAAGCUUCUGCCAUGUCUGGAUCAGUUUGAAAGAGACUAAUCCAGAAGACAGGAACAGCUCCUAGAGCCCAUGCUUGUGCUUAAAGCUUUACCUACCCUGAUGCAUACAUGUGGAACCCUCCACAUUUCCAUUUUGGAAAGGUCUUCCAUGCUGAAUAUCAUACUGAUAACAAUGACAAAAUUACAUGUUUACCUCACACCAAGGAGAAACUUUCAGAUAUCAUCAGCCAUUGUUUUCUUAUUGUAAGCCGCCAUUUGCAGGCUUGUAACAAAGCGGGCGAAGACUUGCUGUUCUGCACAGCUAUUUUGGAAAGAUUUUCUACAAUCAUUCCCCAACUUAAUUUUUGAUCACGUUUCAUCUGAAAGUCAAGAAGUUGAAAUCUAUGGCUGAAUGCAUCUCCCAGAAUCGCCUGUUAGAAAUGAGCAAAGCCAUCAGAAAUCUGAGACAGUGUCUGCCCCAAGUCAACUUACAUGAAUGAAACCUGAACUGAAAUAAAUGUUAACAAUGAGAUCAUCAAUAGGAAUCAUGCUUCUCCAGGAAGGCAAGCUACCUUUCUUACCGUGGGAAUGCUCCAUAAGUAUUUGCAUCAACAACAAUACAUGCUUUAGAGACCUGGAGAAAUAAUUACUGCAGUGUGGUAUUUUGACUUCUGCUUCUGUGAAGAUCUAACUGAAUGUCUCAAGGAGGCCUUGGAGAGUGCUGUUGUGGAUAGCAAUGAGGGUGACUCAUCUGGCUAUAGAGCUGGAAAUGGAAAUGUAAUAUUAAAGAAAAUAAAUAACAAGACUGAAAAGAGAAUUAAAUGAGGAAAUGAGGCGUGAAUGCGUGAGACAGAGGUUAGUCUACUGCAUGUAAGUAGAUAUCGCCUAAUUAUUUGGGAAGCAGAACUUAGUAAGGGAACUGUAGGAUUAUGAGUGAACUAGAGCACUCUAGGAUAUGCCUAGCAAUUUCUUUA